rnacentral:rRNA from 1 species
GUUGUAUGGUUAAGUGACUAAGCGUACACGGUGGAUGCCUUGGCAGUCAGAGGCGAUGAAAGACGUAGUAACUUGCGAUAAGCCCAGAUUAGGUAGUAACAACCAUUUGAGUCUGGGAUUUCUGAAUGGGGAAACCCACUUACAUAAGUAAGUAUCAUUAACUGAAUACAUAGGUUAAUGAGGCGAACCGGGGGAACUGAAACAUCUAAGUACCCCGAGGAAAAGAAAUCAACCGAGAUUCCGAAAGUAGCGGCGAGCGAAAUUGGACUAGCCCUUAAGCUUUACACGCGUUAGACGAACGGUCUGGAAAGUCCGACGAUACAGGGUGAUAGUCCCGUAGUUGACGACGUGUGUUCAGUGAAAUCGAGUAGGGCGGGACACGUGAUAUCCUGUCUGAAUAUGGGGGGACCAUCCUCCAAGGCUAAAUACUACUGACUGACCGAUAGUGAACCAGUACCGUGAGGGAAAGGCGAAAAGAACCCCUGUGAGGGGAGUGAAAUAGAACCUGAAACCGUGUACGUACAAGCAGUAGGAGCAGGCUUUGUCCUGUGACUGCGUACCUUUUGUAUAAUGGGUCAGCGACUUAUAUUCAGUGGCAAGGUUAACCAUCUAGGGGAGCCGUAGGGAAACCGAGUCUUAACUGGGCGUUCAGUCUCUGGAUAUAGACCCGAAACCAGGUGAUCUAGCCAUGGGCAGGUUGAAGGUUGAGUAACAUCAACUGGAGGACCGAACCGACUAAUGUUGAAAAAUUAGCGGAUGACUUGUGGCUAGGGGUGAAAGGCCAAUCAAACCUGGAGAUAGCUGGUUCUCCCCGAAAGCUAUUUAGGUAGCGCCUCGGACGAAUACUACUGGGGGUAGAGCACUGUUAAGGCUAGGGGGUCAUCCCGACUUACCAACCCUUUGCAAACUCCGAAUACCAGUAAGUACUAUCCGGGAGACACACGGCGGGUGCUAACGUCCGUCGUGGAGAGGGAAACAACCCAGACCGCCAGCUAAGGUCCCAAAUUACUACUAAGUGGGAAACGAUGUGGGAAGGCUCAGACAGCCAGGAUGUUGGCUUAGAAGCAGCCAUCAUUUAAAGAAAGCGUAAUAGCUCACUGGUCGAGUCGGCCUGCGCGGAAGAUGUAACGGGGCUAAGUAGUAAACCGAAGCUGCGGCAAUAUACUUUUGUAUAUUGGGUAGGGGAGCGUUCUGUAAGCGGUUGAAGGUGUGUGGUAACGCAUGCUGGACGUAUCAGAAGUGCGAAUGCUGACAUGAGUAACGAUAAAGGGGGUGAAAAACCUCCUCGCCGGAAGACCAAGGGUUCCUGUCCAACGUUAAUCGGGGCAGGGUAAGUCGACCCCUAAGGCGAGGCCGAAAGGCGUAGUCGAUGGGAAACGGGUUAAUAUUCCCGUACUUCUUACAAUUGCGAUGGGGGGACGGAGAAGGCUAGGUGGGCCUGGCGACGGUUGUCCAGGUUCAAGUGCGUAGGCUUAAGAGUUAGGUAAAUCCGGCUCUUUUUAAGGCUGAGACACGACGUCGAGCACCUACGGGUGUGAAGUCAUUGAUGCCAUGCUUCCAGGAAAAGCCUCUAAGCUUCAGAUUGUAAGGAAUCGUACCCCAAACCGACACAGGUGGUCGGGUAGAGAAUACCAAGGCGCUUGAGAGAACUCGGGUGAAGGAACUAGGCAAAAUGGUACCGUAACUUCGGGAGAAGGUACGCUCUCGACGGUGAAGUCCCUCGCGGAUGGAGCUAUUGAGAGUCGCAGAUACCAGGUGGCUGCAACUGUUUAUUAAAAACACAGCACUGUGCAAAAUCGUAAGAUGACGUAUACGGUGUGACGCCUGCCCGGUGCCGGAAGGUUAAUUGAUGGGGUUAGACUUCGGUCGAAGCUCUUGAUCGAAGCCCCGGUAAACGGCGGCCGUAACUAUAACGGUCCUAAGGUAGCGAAAUUCCUUGUCGGGUAAGUUCCGACCUGCACGAAUGGCGUAAUGAUGGCCACGCUGUCUCCACCCGAGACUCAGUGAAAUUGAAAUCGCUGUGAAGAUGCAGUGUACCCGCGGCUAGACGGAAAGACCCCGUGAACCUUUACUACAGCUUGGCACUGAACAUUGACCCUACAUGUGUAGGAUAGGUGGGAGGCUUUGAAGCACGUACGCCAGUAUGUGUGGAGCCGUCCUUGAAAUACCACCCUUGUAGUGUUGAUGUUCUAACGUCGACCCCUAAUCGGGGUUGCGGACAGUGCCUGGUGGGUAGUUUGACUGGGGCGGUCUCCUCCCAAAGAGUAACGGAGGAGCACGAAGGUGGGCUAAUCACGGUUGGACAUCGUGAGGUUAGUGCAAUGGCAUAAGCCCGCUUGACUGCGAGAAUGACAAUUCGAGCAGGUGCGAAAGCAGGUCAUAGUGAUCCGGUGGUUCUGAAUGGAAGGGCCAUCGCUCAACGGAUAAAAGGUACUCCGGGGAUAACAGGCUGAUACCGCCCAAGAGUUCAUAUCGACGGCGGUGUUUGGCACCUCGAUGUCGGCUCAUCACAUCCUGGGGCUGAAGUCGGUCCCAAGGGUAUGGCUGUUCGCCAUUUAAAGUGGUACGCGAGCUGGGUUUAGAACGUCGUGAGACAGUUCGGUCCCUAUCUGCCGUGGGCGUUGGAAGAUUGAAGGGGGCUGCUCCUAGUACGAGAGGACCGGAGUGGACGAACCUCUGGUGUUCGGGUUGUGUCGCCAGACGCAUUGCCCGGUAGCUAAGUUCGGAAUCGAUAACCGCUGAAAGCAUCUAAGCGGGAAGCGAGCCCUGAGAUGAGUCUUCCCUGAUACUUUAAGUAUCCUAAAGGGUUGUCGGAGACUACGACGUUGAUAGGUCAGGUGUGUAAGUGCUGUGAGGCAUUGAGCUAACUGAUACUAAUUGCCCGUGAGGCUUAACCAUACAACACCCAAGGGGUUU